rfam:Hydrogenibacillus schlegelii strain DSM 2000 scaffold30, whole genome shotgun sequence.
CAACCGAAUCACGAAACGCCGCAGACCGAAGGGGCCGCAAGGCUUAAACAUCCUUCCGAGGCAGAUCGUCGACCGCCGGGGUCGACCGGCGCUCGCGUGCCUUCCGUCCGGCUGCCUGUCUGCGGAAGGCUUUUUGCUUAAAGAA